rnacentral:rRNA from 1 species
CCGCCAGAGUACUACGGAGCCAAGCUUAAAACUCAAAGGACUUGGCGGUGCCCUACAUACACCUAGAGGAGCCUGUUCUAUAAUCGAUAACCCCCGAUAAACCUCACCACCAAUUGCCAAUACAGCUUAUAUACCACCGCCCUCAGUCUACCCUUUAAAGGAAAUAAAGUUAACACAACUAUUAAAUAUAAAAAAGUCAGGUCAAGGUGUAGCAUAUGAGGUGGAAAGAAAUGGGCUACAUUUUCUGAAGACAGAAAACACAAAAGACUUAAUGAAAAUAUAUCUGAAGGAGGAUUUAGCAGUAAAAAGAAAAUAGAGUGUUCUUUUUAAACCAAUAAUAGGGNUCGC